GACGAACGCUGGCGGCGUGCUUAACACAUGCAAGUCGAACGGAAAGGCCCUGCUUUUGUGGGGUGCUCGAGUGGCGAACGGGUGAGUAACACGUGAGUAACCUGCCCUUGACUUUGGGAUAACUUCAGGAAACUGGGGCUAAUACCGGAUAGGAGCUCCUGCUGCAUGGUGGGGGUUGGAAAGUUUCGGCGGUUGGGGAUGGACUCGCGGCUUAUCAGCUUGUUGGUGGGGUAGUGGCUUACCAAGGCUUUGACGGGUAGCCGGCCUGAGAGGGUGACCGGCCACAUUGGGACUGAGAUACGGCCCAGACUCCUACGGGAGGCAGCAGUGGGGAAUAUUGCACAAUGGGCGGAAGCCUGAUGCAGCAACGCCGCGUGCGGGAUGACGGCCUUCGGGUUGUAAACCGCUUUCGCCUGUGACGAAGCGUGAGUGACGGUAAUGGGUAAAGAAGCACCGGCUAACUACGUGCCAGCAGCCGCGGUGAUACGUAGGGUGCGAGCGUUGUCCGGAUUUAUUGGGCGUAAAGGGCUCGUAGGUGGUUGAUCGCGUCGGAAGUGUAAUCUUGGGGCUUAACCCUGAGCGUGCUUUCGAUACGGGUUGACUUGAGGAAGGUAGGGGAGAAUGGAAUUCCUGGUGGAGCGGUGGAAUGCGCAGAUAUCAGGAGGAACACCAGUGGCGAAGGCGGUUCUCUGGGCCUUUCCUGACGCUGAGGAGCGAAAGCGUGGGGAGCGAACAGGCUUAGAUACCCUGGUAGUCCACGCUGUAAACGGUGGGUACUAGGUGUGGGGUCCAUUCCACGGGUUCCGUGCCGUAGCUAACGCUUUAAGUACCCCGCCUGGGGAGUACGGCCGCAAGGCUAAAACUCAAAGGAAUUGACGGGGCCCCGCACAAGCGGCGGAGCAUGCGGAUUAAUUCGAUGCAACGCGUAGAACCUUACCUGGGUUUGACAUGGAUCGGGAGUGCUCAGAGAUGGGUGUGCCUCUUUUGGGGUCGGUUCACAGGUGGUGCAUGGCUGUCGUCAGCCCGUGUCGUGAGAUGUUGGGUUAAGUCCCGCAACGAGCGCAACCCUUGUUCACUGUUGCCAGCACGUUAUGGUGGGGACUCAGUGGAGACCGCCGGGGUCAACUCGGAGGAAGGUGGGGAUGACGUCAAGCCAUCAUGCCCCUUAUGUCCAGGGCUUCACGCAUGCUACAAUGGCUGGUACAGAGAGUGGCGAGCCUGUGAGGGUGAGCGAAUCUCGGAAAGCCGGUCUCAGUUCGGAUUGGGGUCUGCAACUCGACCUCAUGAAGUCGGAGUCGCUAGUAAUCGCAGAUCAGCAACGCUGCGGUGAAUACGUUCCCGGGGCU
rnacentral:rRNA from 1 species